rnacentral:rRNA from 1 species
UACGUAGGGUGCAAGCGUUGUCCGGAAUUAUUGGGCGUAAAGAGCUCGUAGGCGGUGUGUCGCGUCGGCCGUGAAAACCUGGGGCUCAACUCUGGGCGUGCGGUCGAUACGGGCAUCACUGGAGUUCGGCAGGGGAGACUGGAAUUCCUGGUGUAGCGGUGAAAUGCGCAGAUAUCAGGAGGAACACCGGUGGCGAAGGCGGGUCUCUGGGCCGAUACUGACGCUGAGGAGCGAAAGCGUGGGGAGCGAACAGG